CAAAGGGAUUACCGGUGGCGGAUGGGCAUGCGGCGCAUUAGCUAGUCGGCGGGGUAACGGCCCACCGAGGCGACGAUGCGUAGGGGUUCUGAGAGGAAGGUCCCCCACACUGGUACUGAGACACGGACCAGACUCCUACGGGAGGCAGCAGUGAGGAAUAUUGGUCAAUGGGCGCGAGCCUGAACCAGCCAAGUCGCGUGAGGGAUGACGGUCCUACGGAUUGUAAACCUCUUUUGCCGGGGAGCAAGCGUGCGUUCGUGAACGCGCGUCGAGAGUACCCGGAGAAAAAGCAUCGGCUAACUCCGUGCCAGCAGCCGCGGUAAUACGGAGGAUGCGAGCGUUAUCCGGAUUUAUUGGGUUUAAAGGGUGCGUAGGCGGGAUGCCAAGUCAGCGGUAAAAAUGCGGUGCUCAACGCCGUCGAGCCGUUGAAACUGGCGUUCUUGAGUGGGCGAGAAGUAUGCGGAAUGCGUGGUGUAGCGGUGAAAUGCAUAGAUAUCACGCAGAACUCCGAUUGCGAAGGCAGCAUACCGGCGCCCUACUGACGCUGAGGCACGAAAGCGUG
rnacentral:rRNA from 1 species